rnacentral:lncRNA from 10 species
UUUUAGCUCUGAUGGGACAUGGGAUCCAACCUUUCCUGAGGACCUACUCCACACCAGGCCCUUUGCAGUGCUCUCAUUGAAUACUCACAGCUACAGUGUGAGGGUGUAAUUACAUCCCCAUUUUAUAGAUGAGGAAACUGAGGCCCCGAGUGCGUCUUCCUCAAGGCCACAUGGUGAAUGGAACAGUCCCUACCAGCCUGGAAAACAGACCAGCCUCUGUCACUCCAGAGAUAACCCACUCUCAUCUUGCUCGUACCUGGCUUCAGGGAUCUUGGGGAGAGAUAAGAGGUUAAAAAAGAUUCCUUGGCCCCCAAAUCAUGUCCUCCUUAGCCGACUGAAGUCUAAAUGAAUCUUUCAGGGACAUAUCAAAACUCCCUCCUCUUGGAGCCUGCCCAGCUUUCAUCACCCUCCUGCCUCGGCCUGCACGCUGAGCGGAUUAUAAACGCCGCAUCAGGGAGCACUGCUUGGGCCUGUGGCUUGGUGAGCUGGGGGCCGCUCAGGUCAGAGGUGAAGUGAGCCUCAGUCUGGUGGGCGGGGCCAGGUGGGCAGAGACUGCUGUUCC